GAGUUUGAUCCUGGCUCAGAACGAAMGCUGGCGGCGUGCUUARCACAUGCMAGUCGAACGUGAUUGASAACUUGCUCUCAUGAAAGUGGCGCACGGGUGAGUAACACGUGGAUAAUCUGCCUGGCGAUUCGGGAUAACACUUCGAAAGGGGUGCUAAUACCGGAUAAGCCCACGGUCUCUUCGGAGAGUGCGGGAAAAGGGGGCCUCUGUAUAUGCUCCUGUCGCUAGAUGAGUCCGCGGCCCAUUAGCUAGUUGGUAGGGUAAUGGCCUACCAAGGCUACGAUGGGUAGCUGGUCUGAGAGGAUGAUCAGCCACACUGGAACUGAGACACGGUCCARACUCCUACGGGAGGCAGCAGUGGGGAAUUUUGCGCAAUGAGCGAAAGCCUGACGCAGCAACGCCGCGUGAGUGAUGAAGGCCUUCGGGUCGUAAAGCUCUGUCAGAGGGGAAGAACCGCCGGGUGGCUAAUACCUGCCUGGUCUGACGGUACCCACAAAGGAAGCACCGGCUAACUCCGUGCCAGCAGCCGCGGUAAUAC
rnacentral:rRNA from 1 species